CGCAAUGGACGCAAGUCUGACGGAGCGACGCCGCGUGAGCGAGGAAGGCCUUCGGGUCGUAAAGCUCUGUUGUCGGAGACGAACAAACGCCNUAGGAAAUGAUGGCGUCCUGACGGUAUCCGACGAGAAAGCCCCGGCUAACUACGUGCCAGCAGCCGCGGUAAUAA
rnacentral:rRNA from 1 species